rnacentral:rRNA from 1 species
GUCUGGUGCCAGCAGCCGCGGUAAUUCCAGCUCCAAUAGCGUAUAUUAAACUUGUUGCAGUUAAAAAGCUCGUAGUUGAAUUUCUGCGUCACCGUAUUUUGACUUUUGUCGACUGUCGGUUUCGCUUUUGGGAUUUAUCCCUUUUUACUUUGAGAAAAUUAGAGUGUUUCAAGCAGACUUUUGUCUUGAAUACUUCAGCAUGGAAUAAUAGAGUAGGACUUUGGUUCUAUUUUGUUGGUUUGUGAACCUUAGUAAUGGUUAAUAGGAACGGUUGGGGGCAUUCGUAUUUAACUG